rnacentral:rRNA from 1 species
UACGAAGGGGGCUAGCGUUGCUCGGAAUCACUGGGCGUAAAGCGCACGUAGGCGGAUUGCUAAGUCAGGGGUGAAAUCCUGGAGCUCAACUCCAGAACUGCCUUUGAUACUGGGAAUCUCGAGUCCGGGAGAGGUGAGUGGAACUGCGAGUGUAGAGGUGAAAUUCGUAGAUAUUAGGAAGAACACCAGUGGCGAAGGCGGCUCACUGGCCCGGUACUGACGCUGAGGCGCGAAAGCGUGGGGAGCAAACAGG